AAAACUAGAAAAAAUUCUACAGUCUAAAAUGCUUUACAUACAUCGCUUAUGAUAGCAAGAAAACAAGCAUGUGGACAUUCCUUCUUGGACCACUGAAAAUUGCACUUGCCAUAGCCGCUCACUACAAGAGAACAAGAAAAUAAAAGAAACGAACCACUAAGCUUCAUUUUGUUUCAUGCUGUUUUUACAUAGCGCCUUUCAAUACACCAAAGGAUAGUCCAGCGUCCCAAAAGAAAAAAAGCAUUGGCCGGGAAGACCAGAGAUCCCCGCUGGUCUGGAAUGGAAAAUAUCACAAAUAGACUGGGCAGGGAAUGGAGUUCUACCUCUAAUCCCAAGAUCCUUGAUCCCUUCGAGAAGAUACACUGCGUUGUGAGGCGGCAACUCUAGCACUGCGCCAAACCGCCCCAACUAAUAACAUAUGUCAAUUGCGGAGAAGGGUCAUUUUUAUCACAUUAAUUUUGGUUUAAUAAUAGCCAUUUGAUCCAACUGAGUAGUCGAAUAAACACAAAACAGACUGUUGAUUAUUAACUACAAAAGUAGUCAUAAUUUAGGGGAUUGUGAAUGGGCAACAUGAUGUUCACAAGGCACCAAUGGUUUGAAGCAGGAGUAGAGAAGACUCAGAAAAAGAUUCUACCAUCCUAUCUAAAUACCAAAUUAAUUGAUCAUGGAUUCCCUCCACAAUAAAGAGCAAUGUACUUAACUGCCUGUUCCCAUUAACUGCAGUAGAAGAUUCUUUAGGUGACAAUUUCAAACCUAAUGUCAACCUGGUACAACUGCUUUCAUGAGAAAAACACCUGCAUUGGAUUUGUGCAAGAAUCAUUUAUCUUGAAGCUGCCUGUAGUUGCCUUUCUUUUUAGCUUUCUUUGAAUUCCAAAUUCAACCCAUGGGUGCUGUUAAAGGUAACAUAAAAGAUAAAAGUAAUUGAAAAUAAAGCAUAAAUUAAAGUUGUGACAUACGUACAUGUGUUUCUCAAGUACACCAGGCUAGAUUCAGUGUUGUCCACAUCACUUUGAGGACAGUAAGAAUAUGUUGAAAGAAUAGUUUUGUGACACAAAUCAUUGUAAAUUUUGUACCACCUGUAUUUCUUUUCAUUUUUUUUUAAUUUGAUUUAAAUAAACAUAUGGAAUGUUUGUGUUUUUUUAGGUUUCAAUUAAAAGUUAAAUAUUGAA